UGGGGAAUAUUGGACAAUGGGCGCAAGCCUGAUCCAGCCAUGCCGCGUGUGUGAAGAAGGCCUUCGGGUUGUAAAGCACUUUUGUUGGGGAAGAAAAGCAUUCGGUUAAUACCCAGGUGUCCUGACGGUACCCAAAGAAUAAGCACCGGCUAACUUCGUUCAAGCAGCCGCGGUAAUACGAAGGGUGCAAGCGUUACUCGGAAUUACUGGGCGUAAAGCGUGCGUAGGUGGUCUGUUAAGUCUGAUGUGAAAGCCCCGGGCUCAACCUGGGAAUGGCAUUGGAUACUGGCAGUCUAGAGUGCGGUAGAGGGGUGUGGAAUUCCCGGUGUAGCAGUGAAAUGCGUAGAUAUCGGGAGGAACAUCCGUGGCGAAGGCGACACCCUGGACCAGCACUGACACUGAGGCACGAAAGCGUGGGGAGCAAA
rnacentral:rRNA from 1 species